rnacentral:rRNA from 1 species
GAUGAACGCUGGCGGCGUGCCUAACACAUGCAAGUCGAGCGAACCCUUCGGGGUGAGCGGCGGACGGGUGAGUAACGCGUGGGUAACCUGCCCUGUACACACGGAUAACAUACCGAAAGGUAUGCUAAUACGAGAUAAUAUAUUUUAAUCGCAUGGUUAUGAUAUCAAAGCUCCGGCGGUACAGGAUGGACCCGCGUCUGAUUAGCUAGUUGGUGAGGUAAUGGCUCACCAAGGCGACGAUCAGUAGCCGACAUGAGAGGGUGAUCGGCCACACUGGAACUGAGACACGGUCCAGACUCCUACGGGAGGCAGCAGUGGGGAAUAUUGCACAAUGGGCGAAAGCCUGAUGCAGCAACGCCGCGUGAGCGAUGACGGCCUUCGGGGCGUAAAGCUCUGUCCUCAAGGAAGAUAAUGACGGUACUUGAGGAGGAAGCCCCGGCUAACUACGUGCCAGCAGCCGCCGUAA